GACGAACGCUGGCGGCGUGCUUAACACAUGCAAGUCGAGCGGUAAGGCCCUUUCGGGGGUACACGAGCGGCGAACGGGUGAGUAACACGUGGGUGACCUGCCCUCAGCUCUGGGAUAAGCCUGGGAAACUGGGUCUAAUACUGGAUAUGACUCCACGGUGCAUGUCGGUGGGGUGGAAAGCCUUGUGCGGCUGAGGAUGGGCCCGCGGCCUAUCAGCUUGUU
rnacentral:rRNA from 1 species